GUGAAAUUGUUGAAAGGGAAACGCUUGAAGUCAGUCGCGUUCGCUGGGGAUCAACCUUCUCUCGAGUUGGUGUACUUCCCAGUUGACGGGUCAGCAUCGAUUUCGACUGUUGGAUAAAAGCUGGAGGAAUGUGGCAUCUCCGGAUGUGUUAUAGCCUCUUGUUGCAUACAACAGUUGGGAUCGAGGAACUCAGCACGCCGCAAGGCCGGGGUUUUACCCACGUACGUGCUUAGGAUGCUGUCAUAAUGGCUUUAAUCGACCCGUCUUGAAACACGGACCAAGGAGUC
rnacentral:rRNA from 1 species